rnacentral:rRNA from 1 species
CCCGCAACGAGCGCAACCCUUAUCCUUUGUUGCCAGCGAUUCGGUCGGGAACUCAAAGGAGACUGCCGGUGAUAAACCGGAGGAAGGUGGGGAUGACGUCAAGUCAUCAUGGCCCUUACGAGUAGGGCUACACACGUGCUACAAUGGCGCAUACAAAGAGAAGCGACCUCGCGAGAGCAAGCGGACCUCAUAAAGUGCGUCGUAGUCCGGAUCGGAGUCUGCAACUCGACUCCGUGAAGUCGGAAUCGCUAGUAAUCGUGGAUCAGAAUGCCACGGUGAAUACGUU